rnacentral:rRNA from 1 species
GGGUUGUGAGGUUAAGCGACUAAGCGUACACGGUGGAUGCCCUGGCAGUCAGAGGCGAUGAAGGACGUGCUAAUCUGCGAAAAGCGUCGGUAAGGUGAUAUGAACCGUUAUAGCCGGCGAUGUCCGAAUGGGGAAACCCAGUGCAAUUCGUUGCACUAUCGUUAACUGAAUACAUAGGUUAACGAGGCGAACCGGGGGAACUGAAACAUCUAAGUACCCCGAGGAAAAGAAAUCAACCGAGAUUCCCCCAGUAGCGGCGAGCGAACGGGGAGCAGCCCAGAGUCUGAAUCAGCUUGUGUGUUAGUGGAACGGUCUGGAAAGUCCGACGGUACAGGGUGAUAGUCCCGUACACCAAAAUGCACAGGUUGUGAACUCGAAGAGUAGGGCGGGACACGUGGUAUCCUGUCUGAAUAUGGGGGACCAUCCUCCAAGGCUAAAUACUCCUGACUGACCGAUAGUGAACCAGUACCGUGAGGGAAAGGCGAAAAGAACCCCGGCGAGGGGAGUGAAAAAGAACCUGAAACCGUGUACGUACAAGCAGUGGGAGCACCUUCGGGUGUGACUGCGUACCUUUUGUAUAAUGGGUCAGCGACUUAUAUUCUGUAGCAAGGUUAACCGUAUAGGGGAGCCGCAGGGAAACCGAGUCUUAACUGGGCGUUAAGUUGCAGGGUAUAGACCCGAAACCCGGUGAUCUAGCCAUGGGCAGGUUGAAGGUUGGGUAACACUAACUGGAGGACCGAACCGACUAAUGUUGAAAAAUUAGCGGAUGACUUGUGGCUGGGGGUGAAAGGCCAAUCAAACCGGGAGAUAGCUGGUUCUCCCGAAAGCUAUUUAGGUAGCGCCUCGUGAACUCAUCUUCGGGGUAGAGCACUGUUUCGGCUAGGGGGUCAUCCCGACUUACCAACCCGAUGCAAACUACGAAUACCGAAGAAUGUUAUCACGGGAGACACACGGCGGGUGCUAACGUCCGUCGUGAAGAGGGAAACAACCCAGACCGCCAGCUAAGGUCCCAAAGUCAUGGUUAAGUGGGAAACGAUGUGGGAAGGCACAGACAGCCAGGAUGUUGGCUUAGAAGCAGCCAUCAUUUAAAGAAAGCGUAAUAGCUCACUGGUCGAGUCGGCCUGCGCGGAAGAUGUAACGGGGCUAAACCAUGCACCGAAGCUGCGGCAGCGACACUAUGUGUUGUUGGGUAGGGGAGCGUUCUGUAAGCCUGCGAAGGUGUGCUGUGAGGCAUGCUGGAGGUAUCAGAAGUGCGAAUGCUGACAUAAGUAACGAUAAAGCGGGUGAAAAGCCCGCUCGCCGGAAGACCAAGGGUUCCUGUCCAACGUUAAUCGGGGCAGGGUGAGUCGACCCCUAAGGCGAGGCCGAAAGGCGUAGUCGAUGGGAAACAGGUUAAUAUUCCUGUACUUGGUGUUACUGCGAAGGGGGGACGGAGAAGGCUAUGUUAGCCGGGCGACGGUUGUCCCGGUUUAAGCAUGUAGGCUGGUUAUCCAGGCAAAUCCGGAUAAUCAAGGCUGAGGUGUGAUGACGAGGCACUACGGUGCUGAAGUAACAAAUGCCCUGCUUCCAGGAAAAGCCUCUAAGCAUCAGGUAACAUCAAAUCGUACCCCAAACCGACACAGGUGGUCAGGUAGAGAAUACCAAGGCGCUUGAGAGAACUCGGGUGAAGGAACUAGGCAAAAUGGUGCCGUAACUUCGGGAGAAGGCACGCUGGUGUGUAGGUGAAGUCCCUGCGGAUGGAGCUGAGACCAGUCGAAGAUACCAGCUGGCUGCAACUGUUUAUUAAAAACACAGCACUGUGCAAACACGAAAGUGGACGUAUACGGUGUGACGCCUGCCCGGUGCCGGAAGGUUAAUUGAUGGGGUUAUCCGUAAGGAGAAGCUCUUGAUCGAAGCCCCGGUAAACGGCGGCCGUAACUAUAACGGUCCUAAGGUAGCGAAAUUCCUUGUCGGGUAAGUUCCGACCUGCACGAAUGGCGUAAUGAUGGCCAGGCUGUCUCCACCCGAGACUCAGUGAAAUUGAACUCGCUGUGAAGAUGCAGUGUACCCGCGGCAAGACGGAAAGACCCCGUGAACCUUUACUAUAGCUUGACACUGAACAUUGAGCCUUGAUGUGUAGGAUAGGUGGGAGGCUUUGAAGCGUGGACGCCAGUCUGCGUGGAGCCAACCUUGAAAUACCACCCUUUAAUGUUUGAUGUUCUAACGUUGGCCCCUUACCGGGGUUGCGGACAGUGUCUGGUGGGUAGUUUGACUGGGGCGGUCUCCUCCCAAAGCGUAACGGAGGAGCACGAAGGUUAGCUAAUCCUGGUCGGACAUCAGGAGGUUAGUGCAAUGGCAUAAGCUAGCUUGACUGCGAGCGUGACGGCGCGAGCAGGUGCGAAAGCAGGUCAUAGUGAUCCGGUGGUUCUGAAUGGAAGGGCCAUCGCUCAACGGAUAAAAGGUACUCCGGGGAUAACAGGCUGAUACCGCCCAAGAGUUCAUAUCGACGGCGGUGUUUGGCACCUCGAUGUCGGCUCAUCACAUCCUGGGGCUGAAGUAGGUCCCAAGGGUAUGGCUGUUCGCCAUUUAAAGUGGUACGCGAGCUGGGUUUAGAACGUCGUGAGACAGUUCGGUCCCUAUCUGCCGUGGGCGCUGGAGAAUUGAGGGGGGCUGCUCCUAGUACGAGAGGACCGGAGUGGACGCAUCACUGGUGUUCGGGUUGUCAUGCCAAUGGCACUGCCCGGUAGCUAAAUGCGGAAGAGAUAAGUGCUGAAAGCAUCUAAGCACGAAACUUGCCCCGAGAUGAGUUCUCCCUGAGACUUUAAGUCUCCUGAAGGAACGUUAAAGACGAUGACGUUGAUAGGCCGGGUGUGUAAGCGCAGCGAUGCGUUGAGCUAACCGGUACUAAUGAACCGUGAGGCUUAACCUUACAACGCCGAAG